UCUUCAGCAUGGCUGCUGUUUGGGCUUCCUGUUAGUUCCUCCCUUGGGUGCCAGCAUCCACUGUCCCACCACUGCCUCACCCUGACUUUAUUCACAUAGAAGAGGUUUCUGUUUGUUUGUUUGUUUGUUUUUAAUCUGAGGAAUUAGCUGUAGAUGCCAGACCUCUUAUUAAUGCUCAGAAUAUCAUUACAGGGUAGCAAGGAGGGCAGGGAUAAACCACUUUCCCACAGUCAAGCGGAAAGGGAGGCCCUUCCAAUUGACUCCUCGUCCUCAUUAACUGGCUGGUUCUCUGGGCUUUCAUCAUUUCUUUCUUUUUGCCCUGGCAGCAGGUUCAUGAGUUUAGAGAGUUCAUCUGGGAAGUGAUGAAAGCUACUUCACCAAGCCUCAGGAAGAUAUGACAGAAGAUGGGCAGCCCCAAGCUGCCGUUCCUCAAGAGAAGUUUAAACACAUUGGCUUCCGGUUCUCCACUCCAGAUCACCUGCCUGUUCACCACAGAAACUCAUAGACAAAAGGCAGUGACGUUCAUUAUUGUUUUGAUGCAAACUACCUCCUGGGAGGAAUGUGGGCUAACUGUUCCAAUAUAGACAACUCAUCAAGAGGACAGAGACAUUGACUGGCUGUUAUUUGAACAACACAUGAAUCACUUCCUUCCAGCAGGGCCCUCUGGUGGUCUUAAAUUUGGGUAUCACAAGAACUCCUAAUGGGUUAAGCCCCGUGAGAGGUGUUGCUGAAUGAGACAGAAAAAUCCCCAAAUUUUCUGUCCCAGGCUUGAACAAGUGGCCACAGAUACCAUAAAAAUCACUCUGAAGUCAUGCAUUAUAUACUACCAAAAGAAAAAAGACACCCAAACUCAAUCAGCCCAUUGGAUUCAGUGCCCAGCCACUAAAACAAAUUCUCCCUUCUACUCUAAAGGAAGGGGCCAUGUGCCCUCUGCCUUCUCUGGUGGAGAGUUAGCCUCUGUAGCAGUAACGUGUCACCAAUGCAGUUUGUGCUUCUUGGCUUUAUCCCUAUCUUCUGAGUUGAUACGCCCUGUCGAUCUCAAUGCAAAGAUUGAGCCACAUGUGGCAACUUGGGAGCCUGGGCUCUGCAGAGCCAGAAAGAUGAAAGAGAGGAGUGGGCCUUUGAUUUUUCUCAAGAAACUUGGCGUGUUUGUGCAGAUUUUUUUUUCCCUGAGAUGACAUAACAGGUUUCUUAGUAGCAACGUGUAAUCUGGCUGCAGGGCUGUUGGUAUCACUCAGCUACUUACUUAAAAAAGAAACAGGCCAACCAACCUCAGCUAAACCACCUCCAGACACUGGCCUCCUUUGUGCCCAACGUGUCUUACAGGCUCUCUGCAGCAAAUCCUGCAAUCCACCUGCACAGGGAAGAAGAUAUUCUCAUUCUUCUCUAGUGUGAUCCUCUUCUGAAACCUAUUAACAUUCUUCUUGAGAGCCACCUGUCCAGAAACCCAAGGGACCAUAGAUAAACAAACAAACAAACAAACAAACAAAUAAACGAAGUGGUUUUAUUUUGAAUGAAAAAAGUUUCCUCCUGCCAAGAAGUUCUUUCUAAUCUGAAGUUCAAAAGCUACAAGUACAUCAGAAUUGUUUCAAGUCUCCUCACCUCUUCUACAUGAAAUGAAAGAAGUACCCUCUCACCCAGAUUUGCUGGCAGGCAUUGCAGUAAAAACCAGGGCCUCUCGCAUGACAAGUCCCAGGGUCUGAAGGAGCUCAGGAUAAACAGACGAAAGCACUUACCACUCGUUCCGUGGACGAGUUGGUGUGACCUCAUACUUGGAGCUAUAAUCCAAGAACAGGUCUACAGCAAAGCUAAGAGCUCUACACGUGACGACUCCAUCCCUCACUGACCCACAGGGACCCUGUGUCGUGAUCGUACCUCACAUUCGACUCUGCUGGAACAGUCAUCCUUGGCUUACAGAGUGGCUGAGGCUUGGAGAUUCAGAUGAGGAAUGGUCAAAGUUAUUCACCAGUAAAGAUGGGAUUUUGAGGACCAGAGACCUUCUUCAAUCUUUUGCUUUCCCCAAACCUUGGUCUUUCUGCACAUGCUGGGCUUCAGGCAGAUGGCUAUUUCUUCUUUUUCCUAUACUACGUGCAGUGCCAAUGGUCUUGGGACAGGCAGUGCCACCAAACCUGACCAGGAACUGCUAACAGAAGACACUCUCUUACUGGCACUGGAGGAGAAAGCAUUCUUGCUAUCAAAGGCAUGUGAGAAGGACUGGUUGCCAACUAACCCAGUGUCAAAUCCUGUCGGGGCUACCAAGCACCCUAUACUGCAUACCUUUUUAAGCAUCAGGGCUACUGAAUAGAGAACUCAUCUGGGAAGACCUGAUUUCAAGACUGUUACUCGAUACCUCUCUAAUGGGAAAUACUUAAUGUGUGUUUACUGGAAGUGAAGAGUUAGCAUUCUGCGGCUCGCUUGGCCCACACUGAUUAAAACAUGUUUGAGAGCUCCAUAUGCUUGUGGUGAAUGAGUGAUAUAUUUUGGUUGCUCUGUUUUCUGUCUGGUCCAGCCCAGCCUAUGUUGUAUGUGAGAGGAAGGGGGGAGGGUGAGGGUACAAGUGCUUUGGAACCGAUUUGCACUGGAAUGGAAUGAACUUAAGGAGUUGGUAUGGGUCAAUAAAUGUGCUUGCACAUGUUUAUUUCAGCGUGUGUUCAAGGAUGGCCAUGUUUACAGUUUGUCUGAAAUGAAGUAUAAUUAAAAAGGGAUGAAUACCUCUCUGAACAUUGAUUAUUUUCUUGUGUUUGUACGAAUUGAACUUAUACACAGACCUUUGGUUGUAAAGCUGCAGUAACAUCGUUCCUGAUUUUAGCCAAAAGCUGAAUUCUCCUUGAGAAUUUUACAUCGAACUGGGGCUUAUCCUGUUUAAGAGAAACAGUAGGCAUUUAAGUGAAGCUCUUUCUUGGAAUGUAGGCCAUACAUCUCUGACAUCUCACAC
rnacentral:lncRNA from 1 species